rnacentral:rRNA from 1 species
AGUGAACGCUGGCGGUAGGCCUAACACAUGCAAGUCGAACGGCAGCACACUAAGAUCGUGCUCUGACGGGUGGCGAGUGGCGGACGUGUGAGGAAUACAUCGGAAUCUACUUUUUCGUGUGGGAUAACGUAGGGAAACUUACGCUAAUACCGCAUACGACCUACGGGGGAAAGCAUGGGAUCUUCGGACCGGGCGCGAUUGAAUGAGCCGAUGUCGGAUUAGCUGGUUGGCGGGGUAAAGGCCCACCAAGGCGACGAUCCGUAGCUCGUGUGGGAGGCUGGUAGGCGACAUUGGAGCGGAACCGGCGUCAAGACUACUACGGUAGGGCGCAGUGGCGAACAUUGGACAACGGGCGCAAGUAUUGUCCAGUGAUCGGGCGUGGGUGACGACAGCGUUCGGGUUGUAAAGACCUCUUGUUGGGAGAGAAAAGCAGCCGGUUGAUACGACGCUGUUCUGACGGUAACCAGAGAAUAAGCACCGGCUAACUUCGUG